rnacentral:misc_RNA from 1 species
CGCACCUUGCACUCUUUGGUAUUCCGAAGAGUAUGUCUGUUUGAGUGUCGUGAAAUUCUCAACCCCCUUGUUUUGUAAUGGAACUCGUGCGGGCUUGGAAGUGGCUGUCUGUCGGAUGUACAAUCCGGCUCAGCUGAAAUACACGAGCAAUCCAUUGAAAAAAUUGGAACCGGCUUGACUCGGCGUAAUAAUAUUAUCGCUGAGGACGGAUCUAUUUCAGAUAGUGAUGCUUCUAAUGCCAUCUUUUAAGCUUUAGACCUCAAAUCAGAUAGGACUACCCGCUGAACUUAA